CGGACGGACAAGCAAGCGCAUG
rnacentral:miRNA from 1 species